GAUGAACGCUAGCGGCGGGCCUAAUACAUGCAAGUCGAGGGGCAUCGCGGGUAGCAAUACUUGGCGGCGACCGGCGCACGGGUGCGUAACGCGUAUGCAACCUGCCCUUAACACGGGGAUAGCCCUCCGAAAGGAGGAUUAAUACCCGAUGGUAUGUAGAGAUGACAUCGUUUUUACAUUAAAGAUUUAUCGGUUAAGGAUGGGCAUGCGUCUGAUUAGCUAGUUGGGGGGGUAACGGCCCACCAAGGCGACGAUCAGUAGGGGUUCUGAGAGGAUGAUCCCCCACCACCGGUACUGAGACACGGACCGGACUCCUACGGGAGGCAGCAGUAAGGAAUAUUGGUCAAUGGGCGGAAGCCUGAACCAGCACGCGCGUGCAGGAAGAAGGCCCUACGGGUUGUAAACUGCUUUUAUACGGAAGGAACCGCCCUCCUGCGGGGGGGUAGUGACGGUACCGUAGGAAUAAGCAUCGGCUAACUCCGUGCCAGCAGCCGCGGUAAUGUCUGU
rnacentral:rRNA from 1 species